rnacentral:lncRNA from 1 species
UUCGCCAAAGUGCCCGUCGAAGGUCUAAAAACUCCAAUUUCCGGUGAGGAAUUUUUUUUGCUUCCUUUAUUUUUUCAUUGAUUCAUGUUGCUUGUUGCAUGUUUACUGCUUUUCCUCCCUCAAUUGAUGUAACAUUUCUUGUAAUUUCACAAAUAUUGAAGAAAAGAGGGGUUAAGUUUUAUUUGGGGGAAAGUCCAAUCGUAACUUUUG